rnacentral:rRNA from 1 species
AUUGAACGCUGGCGGCAGGCCUAACACAUGCAAGUCGAACGAGUGGCGGACGGGUGUGUAAUGUCUGGGAAACUGCCUGAUGGAGGGGGAUAACUACUGGAAACGGUAGCUAAUACCGCAUACCAUCAGAUUUUCCCAGAUGGGAUUAGCUAGUAGGUGGGGUAACGGCUCACCAAGGCGACGAUCCCUAGCCGGUCUGAGAGGAUGACCAGCCACACUGGAACUGAGACACGGUCCAGACGCCUACGGGAGGCAGCAGUGGGGAAUAUUGCGCAAUGGGCGCAAGCCUGAUGGAGCAAUGCCGCGUGUGUGAAGAAGGCCUUCGGGUUGUAAAGUACUUUCAGCGGGGAGGCGUUACCCGCAGAAGAAGCACCGGCUAACUCCGUGCCAGCAGCCGCGGUAAUUC